rnacentral:rRNA from 1 species
UACGUAGGGGGCAAGCGUUGUCCGGAAUCAUUGGGCGUAAAGAGCGUGUAGGUGGCCCGAUAAGUCCGCCGUGAAAGUCCAGGGCUCAACCCUGGAAUGCCGGUGGAAACUGUCGGGCUGGAGUCCGGAAGAGGCGAGUGGAAUUCCUGGUGUAGCGGUGAAAUGCGCAGAUAUCAGGAGGAACACCAAUGGCGAAGGCAGCUCGCUGGGACGGUACUGACGCUGAGACGCGAAAGCGUGGGGAGCAAACAGG